rnacentral:rRNA from 1 species
GAUGAACGCUGGCGGCGUGCCUAAUACAUGCAAGUCGAGCGAACAGACGAGGAGCUUGCUCCUCUGACGUUAGCGGCGGACGGGUGAGUAACACGUGGAUAACCUACCUAUAAGACUGGGAUAACUUCGGGAAACCGGAGCUAAUACCGGAUAAUAUAUUGAACCGCAUGGUUCAAUAGUGAAAGACGGUUUUGCUGUCACUUAUCGAUGGAUCCGCGCCGCAUUAGCUAGUUGGUAAGGUAACGGCUUACCAAGGCAACGAUGCGUAGCCGACCUGAGGGGGGGGUCGGCCACACUGGAACUGAGACACGGUCCAGGCUCCUACGGGAGGCAGCAGUAGGGAAUCUUCCGCAAUGGGCGAAAGCCUGACGGAGCAACGCCGCGUGAGUGAUGAAGGUCUUCGGAUCGUAAAACUCUGUUAUUAGGGAAGAACAAAUGUGUAAGUAACUAUGCACGUCUUGACGGUACCUAAUCAGAAAGCCACGGCUAACUACGUG